CCUCAUGCCCCUUAUGACCUGGGCUACACACGUGCUACAAUGGUUGGUACAACGAGUUGCGAGUCGGUGACGGCGAGCUAAUCUCUUAAAGCCAAUCUCAGUUCGGAUUGUAGGCUGCAACUCGCCUACAUGAAGUCGGAAUCGCUAGUAAUCGCGGAUCAGCACGCCGCGGUCGAAUACGUUCCCGGGCCUU
rnacentral:rRNA from 1 species